rnacentral:rRNA from 1 species
UAACGCGUGGGAAUCUGCCCUUAGGUACGGAAUAACUCAGGGAAACUUGAGCUAAUACCGUAUAAUGACUCCGGUCCAAAGAUUUAUCGCCUGAGGAUGAGCCCGCGUCGGAUUAGCUAGUUGGUGAGGUAAGAGCUCACCAAGGCGACGAUCCGUAGCUGGUCUGAGAGGAUGAUCAGCCACACUGGGACUGAGACACGGCCCAGACUCCUACGGGAGGCAGCAGUGGGGAAUAUUGGACAAUGGGGGCAACCCUGAUCCAGCAAUGCCGCGUGGGUGAUGAAGGCCUUAGGGUUGU